CCGAAAGUCAGCGUUUUGUUUGACUUUCUGCGUUGACCAGCCUAUGGUCAACACGAAGUUCAUUGGAACUUCAUAACGUGAGCGUGAUCACGAUGGUUAUAGUCCAUGGCGACUAUACCUACUGAUUACACAUUAUCAAGGCUCAGUGACGAGUCGUAGUUUCGGCCAAAAUGCGCAUUCUUGCGUAUUUUGUAACCAAACUACCCGUGAGCAUCAAAGCCAUUUGUUUUGAUGCCAAACCCGUUUUCUAAACUUAGUUAAGCAUGUUCUAACAUGAUUAGCUCGUCACUUUUAGUUUAGUGCUUAUAUAGGGUCGUAAGGUAAGCGAUCUAAACCAUCGCUUAUACUUUCGAACCCGACCCAUUUGGUCGAUCAUUAGGAUCCGACCAAACACCUUAGGUGACCAUAGCUAUAACCUUCCGAGGUUAUACCUUAUGGCCACGAUGUUAGGCGUUCCAAACGCGUUCUACGCGAACGACGCGUUAAGGUAGCAUAAGCUACCUAAACGGGUCGUAAUGGGUCGUAAGCACUUAGGUUAGGUUUCAUUUUAGUAUGUAGCCUUUGUUAAACCAUAAUUCACGAGUCUCCAUACUCGUUUGGUUUACGAACCCGCAUACUAUCCGAUCCUUCCGAUUUUGGUCCGGUAGAUUAAUAUAGCUACCUAUUAGGUGCCGUUUGAUAUCCCGUGAUCUCUAGCAUUGUGUGAUUAUUACACAAGGAAUUCAAAGCAAUCUCAGGUGAGUACAUUGAACCCCAUCUUUUACUGUUUUCUAAACUGUUUUGGGGUGAAACACAUGUGCCUACUUGUUACUUUCAUGCUCUUCAUGCUUCCACGUCAUAUACCUGCUAUGUUCGUUAGUACAUUAUAGUACAUGAUUUCAUUACAUUUCAUGCUAUGUAUGCCUAUUGUGUACGUACUUAGUACAUUGUUUUACAUUACAUUUCAUGCUAUGUAUGCCCAUUGUGUGCGUACUUAGUACAUUGUUUUACAUUACAUUUCAUGCUAUGUAUGCCCAUUGUGUGCGUACUUAGUACAUUGUUUUACAUUACAUUUCAUGCUAUGUAUGCCCAUUGUGUGCGUACUUAGUACAUUGGUUUACAUUACAUUUCAUGCUAUGUAUGCCCAUUGUGUGCGUACUUAGUACAUUGGUUCACAUUACAUUUCAUGCUAUUUAUGCCCAUUGUGUGCAUAUUUAGUACAAUUGUUUACAUCACAUGCCUUCAUUUUGGUAUGACAUUUGUUUUGUUUAACAUGGAACAAUACAUUCAUUAACAUUAGCUACGCCGUUCGUUAGUAGGUAGUGGUACCAUAGGAAUUGACAACUCCCGUUCCUGAAAUCCUGGGUUUGAUUGGAUUGGAAGGAAUGACCGAAUUCAAUAUACAUAACUUAGAUAAAUCUUUAAUUUGUUUAAGGGUUUAUCGCCACAGCCUCAAGGCUUGGAUGUAUGCAUAUUUCACAAUACCGCAUAAAUGUUAAUAUCAGUAGAGCAUUCAUUGUUCCACAAAACAUAACGUUGAUUUAAACCAUGUUUUACUUCAACACCUUGUUUUGUGCAUUUCACAUAUGGUUUAGUUGAUACAUCUCACUUACCAUACAAGAUAUAUUUUGGGUACACAUUACAUGAUCUACAUUGAACAUAAACAUUUUGACAUUGAUAUACAUACUUGGUGGUUUACAUUGAACAUAGACAUUUCGAUAUGGUUUACACAAUAACACUUGACAAUUGGUUUAUACAUGAACAAUUUACAUGGUGGUUGGUUUGGGUAAAUGGUUGGAGUAACGUGGCGUAUAUAAUAUGAUACAAACAUGGUGGAUACGCCGCUGGUACUUCCUAUAUAUAAAUGCUUGUAUAAUAUUACAUAUCGUAGCGUUAUCUAAGUCAUUUCAGUUUAGACACAUUACAUUUUACACAAAUAACAUACUCCUCACAAGACAUUAUUUUUACAAAUAACUUAUCUUAUUCAACUCAUUUUACUUGGUUACUCGUUUAACCUUACACUUAUCUAUACAUAUCAUCUGAUAUUAUCGUUUUUCAAAUGGUUUACAAAGCAAGACAAAUUACAAUGUUCAUGACUGACUGUUAUUAAACAUUUCUUUAAACUCAAGUCAUGAAUCCCAUUUUCAUAAAACCUAUGUAUCUCACAGGCAUUUUUAUGCUGACGUACCUACUUUCACAUGUGUUUUCAGGAGCUAUUCCAUAGGAUGGUGAUCAUGACAUUAGGGCGGACCUGUGCCUUAGAGACUAAAAAUGAAGAUAGACUAGUUUAAUUAUGUUAUGAACUCUUUGUUUCCUGUUUAAGACAAUGUAACACUUCUGUUUGAUUAAUAAAAUGUAACUUUGGUUUCCAUGGUUAUGAAACAAUUAAUUCUGUCCACAACACUCCCCGGCGUUUCCGCCGUGGUUGCAUGUUAUACGCGGCCGGGGUGUGACAAUCUACGCUGUAAACACUAUUUACUAUCGUGUUAAACACAUGUUAAUCACGUAAUUAAGGGUCGUAAAUCACCGGUUGUCACAUUCUCCCCCUGUUACAGAAAUUUCGUCCUCGAAAUUUAGACUACGUUAACUGUGACAACUCGAGUUUCCAAGAUUCCAUUUUCGCAUUUAUUGCACGUUCAUUGUUUGUUUAGUUGUUUACUUGCACAAUUAGUUUGUUGUGAAACUGUUUUGAUUCAGUUAAGUAUAUUGUAUAUUGAACAUGGUUAUGGGUUAUUUAUGAAAGAUUUGUCAAAUGUAUGAACUUGGUGGUGAAAUUGUGAACUAUUUUGAAAUGGUGUACUUGUGUAAAAUAUGAUACUUAGGGAUGUAUAGAGUAAUUAGUGAAAUCCUAGUGAUUCUUAACCCUAAUCAUUCACUAAUCACCACACAAAAACAAAACACGUACUUCCACUUCUCUGAUCUUCUCUGGCAAUCAUCAUCUCCAUCAUUGGCACAAGUCUUCUACAUCAAUCUUGAUCUUUCAAUCUAUUUAGAAUCAAUUCAAGGUAAUUGUUAAUGAUUGUUUGUUGUCACUGAUUCUUGAUUAUGUGAUUCAUGUAAACCCUAGUUCCAUAUGUAAUGAUUCUGUGUUAUUGAAUUCUGAUUAUUGUGAAUUGAUGUUGAUUGUUGUGUAAUCAUUGCCUGAUGAUUUAGAUGAUUGAUUUGUCAAAACUAUUGAUGAUUGAUUUGAUUCUGCAUUAUGAAAGUAUGAAUUAGGGUUUUGAUCGUAUGAAUGUUAGAAUGUAACUGUUGCUUUGAUUCUGUGAAUUGGCUGUGGAAAUCACGUAUGUUGAAACUCGUUGUUAACAGUCAGGGCUUUGUGAAGUCACAAAGGUCAGAGUUUUGUGUUUGUCUGAGUUUUGUAACAACAUGCUUAGUCCGAACUUUAUACCUAACAAGAGUCUGAUUUUUGUGAUAAACAUAGUCAGAGUUUUGUAACCCUAAUUGAUAGUCCAAGUUUUAUCCUAGGGUAGAAAGUCCAAGUUUUAUCCUAGGGAAGAAAGUCCAAGUCGUUAGAUACAUGGAGCUUGCACAGGGAGGAGCUGGUCGUUUCCAAGUUUUAUCCUAGGGAAGAAAGUCCAAGUUUUAUCCUAGGGAAGAAAGUCCAAGUUUUAUCCUAGGGAAGGAAUGGAAGUCAGAGUUUUAUACAUGAAGGGAGGGGUCCGAAUUUUAACCCAGGGACUAAGGGUCCGAGUUUUUAAGCCAGGAAACCCCCCCCCCUUGGUCCGAGUUUUGUGAAGGGGGACUCCCCUGUCCGACCUUGUGAACCUUUGCCCCAUCCCCUGUCCGAGUUUUAACCCCCACCCCUUCUCUGGUCCGAAUUUGUGAGGGAGGAACCCCCUUGGUCCGAAUUUGUUGCCCUGGAAUGUUGUCUGACCUUCUGUUGUGCUGUGUUGUCAAACCUUUGUGAAUUAAGCAUGAUUGUCACCCUGAUUUGCAUGCUACUAGUCAGAAUACCACAUAUGAUAUAUGCUUAUGACAAACAUCAGUGUUGAAGCUUACUGUAUGAUUCUGUAUAUGAUUGUAUGCUACUGAAUGCAACUGUAUGAUCCUGUAUGUGUGAACAAUCACCUCAUAUCAUUCUGUACACAAUGAACACACAUAACACAAUUGCUUGUAUAUCAAGGACUUGUAAACCCUAAUUGAAUG
rnacentral:lncRNA from 1 species